UCUUCUUAUGACUAUGGCCGCCAAGCCGCC
rnacentral:sRNA from 1 species